GGGCGCAGGUCCGGCUGGGGAGCGGAACGGCAUGGGAGGGCCGGCCGCAGCGGGUGACAGCCCCGUACGCGAACCCAGACCGGACGGCGCGACGCGGUCCCUGAGUAGGGCCGGGCACGUGAAACCCGGUCCGAACCUGGGUGGACCACCAUCCAAGCCUGAGUACUACCCUGUGACCGAUAGCGCACCAGUACCGUGAGGGAAAGGUGAAAAGCACCCCGGGAGGGGAGUGAAACAGUACCUGAAACCGUGCGCCCACGAGCAGUCGGAGCACCCUCCGGGGUGUGACGGCGUGCCUUUUGUAGAAUGAGCCAGCGAGUCGCUGGCGCGGGGCGAGGUUAACCGAAAGGGAGCCGGAGCGAAAGCGAGCCUUAACAGGGCGACUUGAGUCCCGCGCCGCGGACGCGAAGCCGGGUGAGCUAUCCGUGGGCAGGCUGAAGCGGGGGUAAGACCCCGUGGAGGGCCGAACGCACGUCGGUUGAAAACGGCGGCGAUGACCUGCGGAUAGGGGUGAAAGGCCAAUCAAACCCGGAGAUAUCUCGUUCUCCCCGAAAUAGCUUUAGGGCUAGCGUCGCGCGUUCACCGCCGGAGGUAGAGCACCGGAUGGACGAGGGGGCUUCGCCGCCUACCGAAUCCAACCGAACUCCGAAUGCCGGCGGCCCAGAGCGCGGCAGUCAGAGCAUGUGGGCUAAGCUGUGUGCUCGAGAGGGAAACAGCCCGGACCGCCCGCUAAGGUCCCCAAGUUCCAGCCGAGUGGCAAAGGAUGUGCGUCCGCCCAGACAACCAGGAUGUUGGCUUAGAAGCAGCCAUGCAUUCAAAGAGUGCGUAACAGCUCACUGGUCGAGUGGACAUGCGCCGACAAUACACGGGGCUAAGCUGGACACCGAAGCGGCGGGAUUUUAUCUAUAGAAUCGGUAGGGGAGCUUCCCAUGGGCGGAGAAGCCGGAGGGCGACCGACGGUGGAGCGCAUGGGAGUGAGAAUGCUGGCAUGAGUAGCGAGAGACGAGAGAGUAACUCGUCCGCCGUGAACCCGAGGUUUCCUGGGCAAGGCUAAUCCUCCCAGGGUCAGUCGGGGGCUAAGGCGAGGCCGGGAGGCGUAGCCGACGCGCAGCAGGCAGACAUUCCUGCACCGCGCACGCGGCGCUACGACCGACGGGGCGACGGAUGGGGGUGGCUCGGCGGGGUUCUGGACGUCCCCGUGAUGGAGCGCGGCCCGCGGACCAGGGAAAUCCGGUCCGCAUCGAGGGCGAGGCUCCGGACGAAGCACUUAAGCGAAGCGAGUGAGCCCGAGGUCCCUAGAAAAACCCCUAGGCAGGCGCGUGCGCGCCCGUACCGCAAACCGACACAGGUGGGUGGGUAGAACAUACCGAGGCGAUCGGGUCAACCAUGGUCAAGGAACUCGGCACAAUGGCCCCGUAACUUCGGGAGAAGGGGUGCCCGCGCGUACGUGAACGGACUUGCUCCGGGAGCGGAGGCGGGCCGCAGUGGAGAGGCCCAAGCGACUGUUUACCAAAAACACAGGACUCUGCAGAAGCCGCAAGGCGACGUAUAGGGUCUGACGCCUGCCCGGUGCCGGAAGGUCACGCGGAGGAGUUAGCCGCAAGGCGAAGCCCCGAAGCCAAGCCCCGGUAAACGGCGGCCGUAACUAUAACGGUCCUAAGGUAGCGAAAUUCCUUGUCGGGUAAGUUCCGACCUGC
rnacentral:rRNA from 1 species